CCCGCGUCGUCUGCUGCUGCCAUGACAGCAGCAGCCAGACGACGUCAAGAUGGCGGGAAGGUGGGACGUAUUUCAAGGGCUUCCUCAAGGAUGGGAAGUUAGAUUUGAUGCUAGAACCGGCAGAUAUUACUUUGUUGACCAUGCAAGUAAAAAAACAUCAUGGGAAGAUCCUCGACUCAAAAACUGCCCUCCACCUCCUCCUCACCCUGAAACCAUACCCCCAGAAUUAAGGAACCAACAGGAAAAUCAAACGCUUCCCCACUACCAGCCUAUCUGGAGUUCUUUCCUUGGGGGUCGUUUAUCGUCCAUCUACCCAACAUGUGGAGGCCAUAACUUAUCUUUUGUACCUCCAUAUGUACUCUAUGGUCCUGUUUACCCACUUCAGAAACCUCGUGAAGAAAAGAAAAAGAAGCACACAAAAGGAAGUGCUGGGAAAACUAAGAGAGUUGCUAAUGACCAGAAGGAACCUGCUGUUGAUAAGAAAAAGACCCACCAUAUUGAGACAGGAAAGAAUGCUGAAAAGGCUAUAAGUAGUGAUGACAGUAAGAAUGUAACAAAUGUCCCAACAAGCUCAUCUUUGCAUGUGACUUCUGGAAUUGAAGGCAAGGCAUUAUCUGAUGCAGCACAGGCAUUGCUCACAGCACAACAGGAAAUUGGUUUACUGGAAGCAGUUGAACAUUCACAACUAGCCAUUGCAAAAAUUUCUGCCAUGUUUCCCACUGUUCCUGAAAGCCAUAUUAAGGACCUUAUGAGAAAGUACCAUAAUAGAGAAGCAGUUGUCAUCAGUGCCCUUCAGGUACAGAAACACCCCCUUGCCACCCCUGGGCCUUAUGGCACUUUCACACCUCCUCCUAUGCGGCACUUUAUCCCUACAGCCACAGCACUCAUGGCUUUAUCAAGCACUAGAUCUUCAGCUGCUUCCACAACAUCAACUGUAGGUAUCCUUUCCACCUCUACCACAGUGACCUCCACAGCUACGUCCCUGUUGCAUAGUGGGACCACAACCACCUCUGCCAUAUAUGGCCAUGAAAAGCCACUGCAUCAAGUACCCACAUCAUUAACAUCUAAUCUGACUAGUGUUUCAACCACAAUUGCUGAUCAAGCACCACCUGUCACUGCAGUUGAUCGUAUUCCUAGUCGACCCAUUUAUGAAAAAGCCAGAGGGACUCACUUAUUUGAAGAAAAGUUGAUACGUUCUCCAUUACAUGGUCAGCGAAGUUCUGUCGAAAGAUCUGUCGGUCGAGGAUCUCUUGACAAAUCUGCUGGUUCCCCAAAAUUAGGCCACAGCUCGAUAGAACGAUCCAUUGGCUCUCCUUUCUUAGGCCGUGACUCACCACUUUUGUCAUCACGUGCAUCUUCACCUCACACAUUCUUAGAUGGCUCGCCACGUCUCACGACACGCUCUGCUUCUGACUUUACUCGCUCAUUAAUGGGCUCACCACGAAUGGAUUACAGAUAUUCUCCAAGACCUACACCUCAUUCACCAAAGAUAAAGCUCAGAUAUCUGAAAGGAAUUUUUCCAAAAGUGGAACCAACUGUUAUAUUGGACAUCCUUACCCAGUGCAAUUAUAAUGUGAAAGAUACUUCUGAGAAACUUAUCGCCAUGGGCCAUGAGAAGAAGGAGACAGCCUUGGCUCCUCCCAAGCUGAAAGACAGAGCUGAGAAUAAAGAAAAUAAAGCAGCAGCACCAAAGCCAUCUCCUGGACCUGCUAGACCAAAGACUCUUUCUGAGAAGCACAAAAAGAAAGUGCGUAAUCAGCUAACAGCAGACUAUCCAGACAUAACACCAACAGUGGUGACAAUGGCAUUGCAAUCAGUAUUUUAUGACGAAAUCAGAGCCCGCCAGGUACUUGAAAAUAUGGCCGAGUCAGAUCGCAAAACAAAGGAGGCUUUAGCUUUAACACCCAAGAUGUCUAGACGCUCUGAAGCCAAAUCAGUGACAUUAAACCUAAUUGGUUCACCACCCACCUCUCGACGAGAUGGCGUGAAGCCAUCUCGACCGACGUUACCACGAACGAGAAUAAACACUGCCUGGACCGCUGCUCAAACGGUAUCAAGGGGUACUAGUACAGAUGAAGACUCCAGUUUCCGCAGUGAUCAACGAGCACGACCGACUGGUCCAAAUACCAAGCUUCAUAAAGGUCCAUCUGAAGGGCUGCUUCUAUCAGACUACCAAGCUUGGCAUGGUCCAAACCCUGAGAAUUGUUCAGGACACAGCAAAAGCCUUGCUCAAGGCCCAAAUCGGACCCAUCUUCGAGGACCUUCGGGUUUAGCCCGCGGUCAGAACCCUUCCAUGUGCAAAGGACCGCGAGGACUGGCUAAAGGACCUCAAUUUACGCAGGUCUGUAGAGUGCUGUUCACGCUUUCAAGAAUGUAGAGUCUGUGCAAACCUUAGUUUUAUGAGUGUCGUUACAGCUACAGCCAACACUAUCUCUGGUUGAAUGCUCCACGCAGGUUUGUUCCACGGUGGCUUAUAUGUUGUUCCUUUCCUGUUGUGUUUGAUCCAUAGGUGGUGCUAUAUUUUUUUCAGCUAUUUUUUUAUGAUUGCUGCAUAUGAUGGAAAUGUGAAUUUACCCUUUUUAGAGGACAUUUGUGUGGCAUUACUUGUGUUUUUCCUUAUAUGAUGUAUUUCUGUUAACAUUUGAGGCUUUUUCUGUUUAAAUUCUCCAAGUUUAUGUGUGAUACACUUUGUUUGAAAGCCGUUUUGAAUUCUUGUUUCUUUUAUCUUUGAAACUUCCAGGAGCAAAGUUUAUAGUUAUUUGAUUCAGACAGUUUGGUAGUUUAUCAACCAUUAUUACUGUCCAGCCAGUUUAACAAGGUUAGAUGAAUAUUUUCAGGUUCCUUAAUGAAAUUAGGGUUUACUGCAAUAUUCUGAAUAAUUUUAAAAGUAUUAAAUGCAAGGUAUUCAUGCGUACUUACCCAUAAACAUAUUUAUCCGAAGUCCACUUCAGGGAUCAGUUCCUCCUUAAAAUUGGGCUUAAAAUGUAAAAGCACUUGACAUUGCUUUUCCAAUUUAGCAAUUUUUUUUCUCCUUUCAGGAAGUCACAGACUGUUGUGUUAUGCCACAUAGCCUUAAUUGAUAUACUACUGUGGUUUCUGAUACAUUGCCCAGUGGAUGUAUCCUAAUUUCUUGUCAUCCUCUACCAAAGAUUAUUUGAAAAACUUGAAUUUGUGAAACUUUUGUUUGUGGGAGCUGUCAUCUUAGCCAGUAAAAAAGUUUUAAUUGAAGGUCAGGAAGCUAUAAUGGAUCUUUGACUCAUAUCAUUGAAAUUGACUUGUAGUUUAUAGUAUUGAUAGCUACAUAUCUCCCAAGUCUAAGGGGAAUAUAUUUAGGCAGAAAGUGCACAAAACAAAAAGAGAGUAGAGAGAAUUCUUUGUACAUCUAGCUCCAUAAAUGGAAAACCUGGCUUAUAAAUUAUAAUGUUGAUAAUUUUACAGAGUAUCUCUUCAAGACUUAAAGAAUCACUUGUCAACUGCUUACAAAAUGCUGUUCAGCACUAGUCUGUGUGAAAAAAACUUUAGUAUGAGUAUUUUGCUCUGUCUUCAAAAAGGAACCACUCCAAAAUUAUCUUGUUCAUGAAAUUUACUUUGGUAAGAAAAUUGUGUGAAAUUAAUUACAUUUUUUUAGUCACUCACUCCAGUAAUUGAACAUUAACUGUGUUGUGUUACACACUUAAGAUCACUGACUUUUAAUUAAAUUAAAUUGCUGAUGUUUGUCCCCAUCUUCAACUAACCACAAAUUAUGAGUUUUUAUAAAACUAUGGUUUGUACACUGUGAUAUUAAAAUUAAAAUUUCUUGUGCUUUCUAAGUUUUACAUUGAAAUGUUUUUAAUAUUUGUUGAAUUUAUCUAAACUGGAAAUUUUGAUGGCACCUGGAUUGAUGAGAGAACUCCAGAUUUUAGUUUGAAUUAUAUAAGAUAUUUUUUAUAGUAUUUUUGAUGGAACAGUUCAGUAAUAUUUUCUAUUUCAUGUAACUGAACUGUUCAAGGUUCAUAGUCAUCACUGCCACAUAAUUAAUGUACCAUAAAAGGAAUUUAAUACAUAUGUUUAGAUCCUUAUGACAAUAAUAGCAUGCAGCUACAUUUUCUCCUCUUGAUUGUAAACAAGUUCAAAAACUUUAUCAGUAAGAGAGACCAAGUAUAGUAUAAUAGUAGUACUACAUGAUAUCUUGCACCGUAGAUCCAACAGUGAUACAGUAUUAAUGGUUGACUGUUUGCAUAUCAAGCCAAGGAGAUUAAUUCUUUCAUAGAGAAACUGCACCAUUUAGAGUGACAAUGUUGCACAGAAAUUUAUAAUUUAUGUGAGGAUUGCCAUUUUGCAUCAUCAUAUAUCUCUAAAUGAUUGUGUAUUUUGCAAGAUCAUCUAUAGUGCACAAUUGUAGCAAGUAUUAGACAUCAUAGUUUUCAUCCAGUUUGUACAUACUUUUGUUAAAGAUGAGGGAGCUGAAGUGAUAUGAAAACAAAGUACAAUGCAAAGCUACAAAAUUAUCUGUGACCCUGCUAGUUGGCUUGAGGGUUUUCCGAUACCUGAUUCAGUAGUUCAGUGAUGCACUUUUAAACUCUCUUCAACUUUUCAACAUAGUAUUCAUCAGUUAAAAUUAAGCAUUUAGGACACAUUGGCUAGAACAUUUUGUAUUCUAGAUGAUUAUGUGCACAUCAUAAUGGUCGUUCACUUCAUCUUCAAAUGCUUCAGACACAAGUUAUGAAUGUAUAGGCUGUCAAAGAUAGCACUGAUUUUGAAUAUGGUUUGAGAAAUGUUUCCCAGUUUUUAUUGCAUGGACACAUAUAACUUCAACUUAUAUGACUCCCUGGAGUGUUAUGAAUGGGAGGGAAAUUUACUCCCUCUUGCUUUCUCAAGAUUGCCAAAUGUCAUGUCUCAUUUCUCACUGCAGGUAGAGUGUGUACUUUUGAAUGUGAUGAUGAUGAUGGUGAUGAUGAUGAUGAUGAUGAUGAUGAGAUGAUAUUGAUGAUGGUGAUGAUGAUGGGUUUAGAAGAUCAAGAAGACUUUUAGAGGAAUGAACAAAAUGAUCGUUAUCCCCUUCCAAACUACUCUCCUCUUAAUUCUUUUGUCAAAUUCAUCAAUGUAGGAAGAAUGAGCCUGACUGACAUAGAAGAAAAUUUGAUUCUCAUUUUCUCAUAAGAGUCCAGUAUACUUCAACUGCAGUAAAAUUUACGGAACCUUGUGCCUAACGUCAAGUCUAGUCGAGUCCAAGCAAGAUGUGAAGGAACCGUUACUUUGUUACAAUGCUGUGAUAUUUGAUUUUUACAGUAUGAAAAUUCAUUUGUCAAGGCUUAUAAAUCAACCAAACCCCAUGUCUUCCUUUCACCAUAUCCAGCAUCACUACAGUGGCACUUUCUUAAAAUCAGCUCUUCACCUACGUAACUCUAUCAGAAUGAACAGUGUUCAGUGACAAUACUGUGCUAUUGUAAUUGGAGUACUGAUGAAAAUUUACAUUGAUGAUGUUCUCUCCUCGCUACCUGUCCUUUUAUUACCACUACCUGUUCUUUUAUCAGAACUGGUUAUCUACUGAACAACUGUACAAAUGUUUGCGCAAACAUUAGAUGCAAAACUUGUUCCAAGAGAAGGAAGUAUGCGUUUACAGAACCAGAGUAUUUUUGGACAUAAAAAAUUUUUUCAGCCAUGGACAUUUUACUAGAUAUUUUAAAGUUAACAUAGUCUUUCCACUCACAACAAAGCACAUUUUAAAAAUAUUCUAGUUUUGGAUUACAAAUUUUCAUUUUGUGGAAAUAUAAACUAGGUUAGCAUGUGUUAAACGUGUUUGCAAACUUUAUCACAACUAGCAAAAAAUGGUAUGCUGUAAUCAGCAGAUUACAGCCUCACCAAACUCUCUUUUUUUUUUUUUUCUAAAUAGGACUUAUAUGAUAGUAGAGUUGAUUGGUUACCACUGUAGUACAGUAUAGCAUGUAGAUGUUAAAUGCAACUCUAUUUUAUGUCUUAAAAUAAAGAAGUCCGUAUAUUAUUACAAAUA